rnacentral:rRNA from 1 species
CCUACGGGCGGCAGCAGUGAGGAAUAUUGGUCAAUGGACGAGAGUCUGAACCAGCCAAGUAGCGUGAAGGAUGACUGCCCUAUGGGUUGUAAACUUCUUUUAUAUGGGAAUAAAAUGUUCCACGUGUGGGAUUUUGUAUGUACCAUAUGAAUAAGGAUCGGCUAACUCCGUGCCAGCAGCCGCGGUAAUACGGAGGAUCCGAGCGUUAUCCGGAUUUAUUGGGUUUAAAGGGAGCGUAGGUGGAUUGUUAAGUCAGUUGUGAAAGUUUGCGGCUCAACCGUAAAAUUGCAGUUGAAACUGGCAGUCUUGAGUGCAGGAGAGGUAGGCGGAAUUCGUGGUGUAGCGGUGAAAUGCUUAGAUAUCACGAAGAACUCCGAUGGCGAAGGCAGCUCACUGGACUGCAACUGACACUGAGGCUCGAAAGUGUGGGUAGCAAACAGGAUUAGAUACCCGUGUAGUC